CUUGCCCAGGGUCAUAUAUCUAGUAUCUGAGGACAGAUUUGAACUCAAGUCUUCCUGACUCUAGGCCCAGUGUUCAAACCAUAGUACCACUGAACGUAUGAAUCACAACUCAUUGUGUUCACAGGGAUAAUACUCAAUAUAUAGGCGAGAUUUACCCUAUUUUUCUCUUCUCCCUUUCCCCAGUUAGCUGCAGACUCUGUUUUCUCAGUCUUCUCUGUCCUCCAUUUCCUCCAAGCUCAUCUUGUUCCCCCAGGGCAGGCCAUUCUGAAUGCUGUCACUAAUUUAGUCUAGCCCCCUCUUUCCCCUUAUUGGGGGAUGGGCAGGAGGCCCUCCUCCCACGCUUGAAAAUCUUCUCCCCUGCCAGUCCCCAUGAUGAGCUCUCCCCUUACCUGGAGGACUCUUCCCCUUCUCCUACUUGCAGGGUCACUAUUGUCAAUCUCAGAAUCUCCUCCCUAGUUUCAGAGUCUCCCCCCCCAUCCUAAAGUUUAUUUCCUAGACCCAGUUUCUCCCAUAAGCCUAAUGUUUCCCUUUUCUCCUUCUUUCCUAAUAUCUCUCAUGAUAUUAGAGUCCCACCAGGAUCUCCCCUAAUCCCAGCCUGGGUCUCACCUGGUUCCUUGUACAACAGGGAGGAAAAGGAACCUCAUGAUUUUUGGUUGUCUCAGCUGGGGGAAGGCAUAGGCAGGGAGGGAUGAUUAACUUUCAAAUCUUUCCCCAGGGCUCUCUUUUUGCCAGUCGAGGAUAGCAUCCCUUCCCCACCUCCCACCUUCCUGAGGGUGUCUCCCCCUGAGUCUUUUCCCUUUUUCUUUUUUCCCCCCCAGAUUUGUUUUCAGGUAAGAUUUUCUAGCCUAAUCUUACCUAUUCCCUCCUCUGUCCUCUUAUCCCUAGUGAACAUGGACCUUUGUCUUGCUGCCCCAGAAUCUACCCCAGACUGUUCCUUCUCCAGAUCUUUGCUCACGGCCUUCCCUCUGCCAUGACCUCAAGAGAAGCAAGCUUGAGAUGCAGCAUAAGUAAGAAGGUUGUCUUGGACUGUGCUGUGACUCCUGGGCUUUCCCAGCACCCUUUUCUGGGCCUCUUCUGGCCCAUUAGCUUGGGUAUGGCGUUCCCUUUCCGGCAAGCUCCAAUUAGGUUAGACCCAGAGAUUACAGAAACUAUAUAGUCACGUUGUGUAGGUUUCAGAAAUGAAUUUAGGGGAGUCAUUUAGGGGAAUACAAAAGAGGAACACUCUAACAAACCCAAGCUAUUUGAGACAUGGGUGACAUCUUUUACUUCCAUGGGUUUUAUCACGUCCUGUCUUGUGUCCUAGUGAUCUGGCUACGGGGUUUAAUCUCCUUUUUGGCUUUUCUAUCUCUCCAAGCUCAGGGCUUCCUCACACACAAUAGCCAUCAAUACAUGGGUAAGGUGGAAAGAGCAGGGAUUCAAAUCGUGACCAGCUGGGUGAGCAAGUUAAAUACUUUCUGUGGAUCUGCUUUCAGGAUUAUAGAUUUCAAGCUGGAAGAGCCAUCUCAGAGGAUGUUAAAAACAGACCUUUUACUUUUAUAGAUGAAGAAACUGAAGGCCUUCCUGAUUCUAAGUUCAGCCUGCUUUCGGAGAUGGGGAAAUGGAGGCACACUUGACCUGCAUACUGAUGAAAGGCUGACCUCAACAAAUGGUUGUUUGGCAAAAAUGGGAAAAGGUAUGUCUAAACACGAAUGGUUCAAGAGCUCACCCACCAUUGACAAAUGCUUUUGGUCGUAUUCCACAUCAAUAAGAAUGGCUUGAUAGACUUCUUUUGCAAUAGUAUGUGGGAGCAUAAUGCUUGAAAUGGAGAAUCUUAUGUUUUGACAACAGGUGGAUAAAAAGCUACACAAAUUUUUAGUACUGUUCAUUACAACUUAUUUAUUGAGAAUAGGACAUUCUGUUGUUCCUGUUACAAAGACAAAAUAACAUUCUUUAUUAGUUGGAAGAAGUCAUGAAGAGUAAUAUCAGCAAUAACAUCACAUUCUGAGAAACUCUGUGCUGACCAAGACCGUACUCAUCACAUUAAUAUUAUUAUUAUUAUGGGCAAUAUUUUAU